AGAGUUUGAUCCUGGCUCAGAACGAACGCUAGCGGCAUGCCUCAAACAUGCAAGUCGUACGAGAAAGUUCCUUCGGGAACGAGUACAGUGGCGCACGGGUGCGUAACACGUAACUAAUGUCCCCCCUUGCUGGGGAUAACUCCGGGAAACCGGAGCUAAUACCGAAUGAUCUGUAAGAGUCUGCGGGCUUUUACGGUAAAGCUGUAAAGCGCGAGGGGAUCAGGUUGCGCCCGAUUAGCUUGUUGGUGGGGUAAAAGCUCACCAAGGCGACGAUCGGUAGCUGGUCUGAGAGGAUGAUCAGCCACACUGGAACUGAAACACGGUCCAGACUCCCACGGGAGGCAGCAGUUGGGAAUAUUGGACAAUGGGCGAAAGCCUGAUCCAGCAAUGCCGCGUGAGGGACGAAGGCCCUCGGGUCGUAAACCUCCUUUAGCAGGGAAAAAACUGAUGGUACCUGCAGAAAAAGCACCGGCUAACUCCGUGCCAGCAGCCGCGGUAAUACGGAGGGUGCAAGCGUUGUUCGGAAUCACUGGGCGUAAAGCGCGUGUAGGCGGUUUGCUCAGUCUGAUGUGAAAGCCCGGGGCUCAACCUCGGAAGUGCAUUGGAUACUGGCAAACUAGAGGACGGGAGAGGAGAGUGGAAUUCCUGGUGUAGGGGUGAAAUCCGUAGAUAUCAGGAGGAACAUCAGAGGCGAAGGCGGCUCUCUGGCCCGUAUCUGACGCUCAGACGCGAAAGCGUGGGUAGCAAACAGGAUUAGAUACCCUGGUAGUCCACGCCCUAAACGAUGAACACUAGUUGUUGGGAAUCCUAAUUGUCUCGGUAACGUAGCUAACGCGUUAAGUGUUCCGCCUGGGAAUUACGGUCGCAAGAUUAAAACUCAAAGGAAUUGACGGGGGCCCGCACAAGCGGUGGAGCAUGUGGUUUAAUCCGAUGCUACGCGAAGAACCUUACCCAGACUUGACAUCCCGGGCUACCCUGCGAAAGCAGGGGUUCUCUUAGGAGACCCGGUGACAGGUGCUGCAUGGCUGUCGUCAGCUCGUGUUGUGAGAUGUUGGGUUAAGUCCCGCAACGAGCGCAACCCCCGUCGUUAGUUACCAUCACUUAGUUGGGCACUCUAACGAGACCGCUUGGCAAUAAGCCAGAGGAAGGUGGGGACGACGUCAAGUCAUCAUGGCCCUUAUGUCUGGGGCUACACACGUGCUACAAUGGGAGGCACAAAGCGCUGCUAACUCGCGAGAGUGUGCCAAUCGCAAAAAUCCUCCCCUAAUUCGGAUUGGAGUCUGCAAUUCGACUCCAUGAAGCUGGAAUCGCUAGUAGUCGCGGAUCAGAACGCCGCGGUGAAUACGUUCUCGGGCCUUGUACACACCGCCCGUCACACCAUGGGAGUUGGUUACACCGGAAAACAUUGAGCGAACCUUCGGGGCGCAGGUGUUUAUGGUAUGGCUGAUGACUGGGGUGAAGUCGUAACAAGGUA
rnacentral:rRNA from 1 species